UAUCAACGCUACGACUAAAGCCUGAUUGAUUGAACACACAGCUGUCGGAGACAAACUGCACUUUCAGAGUAUUGUAUUUAAAGGUGCUUUACUCCACUGUGUUUAUCCUAGAGUCGCUGUGGAUGUGUUUGAUGCAUGACAAGUGUGAGGAAAUGUCAGAAGACGUAACGUCCGGCGUCAGCAGCUCUGGGAGGACGGCAGGACUCCGCAGGGCUGCUGAGAGUCUGCUGGGUUCUGGCCCGGAUCGAGUUUGGCACGGUGGACUGAACAGGAGGAACCUCGGCCUCUCUCUGCACCCGCAGGCAGGAAACAGCCUGGCACACUACCAUGUGUUUUCCUACGAGGCUCGAGGAGAAUCAGUCUAAACCAUCCGGGGAUUAUCCACAGUUUUAUUAAAAACUACAACACGUUUUCCUGUUGGUCCGGUGGGCUCCCUCCGUCAUGAUGAUGCCCACCAUGUGAGUGACAGGUUCCGUUUCCAUGAUGGCGAAGGUGAAGAGGGGGUCGUCGAACGUGAUUGGCUCGUCGGAGGGCGGCGGGGGGGCGACCCACUCAAUGUCGAGUCUCGCCGUGGACGAGUGGGACGGGCUGCCCUGGUCCGUCGCAUUAAUCUGGAAACCAACAGAGAAAUUAAAUCAGUUUUUUAACGAAGGAGCUGGAGGGUCUCAGUGUACGGGGGCCCACGAGGUCCCAUUUUUAAAAUAUUAUUUAAAGCAGGAAAAAAAAUGACAAAAACGAGACUUUAGUCUAACCAUGAAAAUACAAAAUAUUCAUUGAAAAAAAUUCAAAUAAAUAUUGUUUCUAAUUCAAA